CUCUGAUGGAGCUCGAGCUCAUGAGGCACAGCGCGUGCACAGCCCGAGGCGCUGCCGACAAACUUCACCCCGGGGGCAAAAACCUGAGCGACACACGGACAAAGCAGGACAAACCAAAUAAAAAAGUCAUCUCGGUGCACAAGACAGUCGAGAGAGCGAGCAGAACAAGACAGGGCAACCUCGAACCGGUGUAAAGGACAGUUUGAAGAAGGACAUUGUGUGUGACCCAUCGUCUGUGGCCCCCGGGAGAGCGGCUCUGCUUUCGCCCGAUGCAGAGAUCAUCUAUCAGUUGCUGUCAGGCCACAUGAGGACGCGUGUCUGUGUGUUUUGCACCCAUUCUCUGAUCCAGGCCUCAAGCAUCCAUCACCCUGAACCCCAGCAGGCCUGUCACGCUGUCUCAAUCCCCUGAUUCUGACUCUUCUCCUGCUGCGUGCCUCUCCCGGCCCUUCCUGGAGACCCCAGGGCCCCUCACCCUCAAUGGAGAGCAGGG